ensembl:lncRNA
GUAUAAUUAAAACAAGCCUCCACAAUCCCACUGGACACUCUUUAAAAACGGCUCAUUUUUGGCAUUAUUUACAAUGCGGGGGAGAUGGCAGGUGGGAGGUGCCUGACACCCCUACUGCUGCCCCCAAGGAGAAGCCUGGAGUCUCCCCAUUCUCUGCUGGGCCACUCCGGCAGUUACUAUCUUCCUGAUGGGGAAGCCCCUGCGACGAUGGUGUUACAGGGCACCUGAUCAUCGGCAACUGGAGCCUGCUGGAAUUGUGAACAACUGGAUGAAUGAAUGAGUUGGAAAAUAUAAGAACAAAUGAUUGGAUAAAGAAGUAAAUGAAGGAAUGAAUUUGAGCCACAGGGUCUCAUGCAGGUUCAGGCUCUGCUGUGUGCCAGGCACUGGCGCUAGGCAGCGAACAAUGGACCCAGUUCCUGCCCUCGGGGCUCUUGCCUGCAGACCUGGGAGGCAGAAUUCAUGCAGCUGUUCAAUAGCUAGUGAGUCAUUGUUGUGCUAAGAGCGCACAACAGGAGAAGCUGUGUGCUGUAGGAGGCUGAACAGGCCUCACCUGGCCCAUGGAUGCUGGUCAGGGAAGGGGGUCUCAAAAGUUUUCUGGGGUAAACUCUGGAUAUGAGAGAGAGUUAGUGGCAUGACCAGUCAUUGAGUAAAUGACCCAGAUGACAUGGGGGCCCAGGACAUCAGCUUCUUCCACCCCGGGAGAUCGCCGACAUGCCAAAGCCACAGAAUAAAGCAAGUGGGAAUGACUUACACUCGGCCGACAGCUGGGACUAAAACCAAGGAAGGAAGAGAACACUUCUCGGGGACGUGCUACUGCCAGCCACUACACAUCCAUACCUCGUGAAUCCUCAUCAAAUGUUGCCUGUUAGCAUGACUACUCCCAUUUAGCAGAUGAGGAAACUGAGGCUCAGAGAGGGGAACCCAGGUCUGUCUGACUCUGAAAUCUGGUCCCCAACCCCUCUGCUUCUGGGACCUUGGCACACUGUGCCCUGAGGCAGGACUCACCCCUCCCUUAAUUGUAAUUCAACUACUUGUG